rnacentral:rRNA from 1 species
UACGAAGGGGGCUAGCGUUGUUCGGAUUUACUGGGCGUAAAGGGUACGCAGGCGGCUUACCAAGUCAGAGGUGAAAUCCCGGGGCUCAACCCCGGAACUGCCUUUGAAACUGGUAGGCUAGAGUAUGGGAGAGGUGAGUGGAAUUCCUAGUGUAGAGGUGAAAUUCGUAGAUAUUAGGAGGAACACCAGUGGCGAAGGCGGCUCACUGGCCCAUAACUGACGCUCAGGUACGAAAGCGUGGGGAGCAAACAGGAUUAGAUACCCUGGUAGUCCACGCUGUAAACGAUGAAUGCUAGUUGUUGGGACCUUUAGGUCUCAGUGACGUAGUUAACGCGCUAAGCAUUCCGCCUGGGGAGUACGGUCGCAAGAUUAAA